CUAUGAUGUAUAGUGUGUGCUUGAUAUACCUGAUUCUAAAGUAGAUGAGAGCUUUCAAUUGUAAGUGAGUAAGUGAGACAAUAAAUCCAAAGCAGUGAUUUUCAAAUUGUGUUUCACAGAUACCUAGAGGGCUUCAGAACCUUGUCUGAGAGGGGAAAGCUGAAUGGGCAGGAGGGAUAUUGAUUAGAAGAUCUAAUUUACAUAUUGGCAUCUCCUAAAUUUCUUUGAAGACCAAGCUGUACUUUAAAAGAAAGGGUCCUGGUGAGACAACCUCUUGCAAAUAGCAUCCUCUUCCCCAGUUGUUAGUCUGCACGUGGAAGUUUCUGAAGCACUUAUUGCUGGUACCACUCAUCUGAUAUUUGUUACAUGCUAUCACACUCCUUUUUACUAGGAUUUGAAGUUCGCAGUUCUUUUUGGCUGUAAUCUGCUCUACUACAUGAAAAGACAACCCACAGGAUGGGAGAUAAUAUUUCCAAAUGAUGUGACUGACAAGCAGUGAA
rnacentral:lncRNA from 1 species